GCGAGCGUGGCGGAAUUGGCAGACGCGCCAGAUUUAGGUUCUGGUAUCUUCGGAUGUGGAGGUUCGACUCCUCUCGCUCGCA
rnacentral:tRNA from 2 species